rnacentral:rRNA from 1 species
UACGUAGGAGGCGAGCGUUAUCCGGAUUUAUUGGGCGUAAAGAGCGCGUAGGCGGCCUAUUAAGUCGGUUGUGAAAUCUCUCGGCUUAACUGAGAGGGGUCAACCGAAACUGGUGGGCUUGAGGACAGCAGAGGGAAGUGGAAUUCCCGGUGUAGUGGUGAAAUGCGUAGAUAUCGGGAGGAACACCAGUGGCGAAGGCGGCUUCCUGGGCUGUUCCUGACGCUGAGGCGCGAAAGCGUGGGUAGCAAACAGG